AAAAAUUCUAAAUUUAUUCUGAAUUCGAGGAUCUCUACAUCAUUUACUUUUUAGCAGUCCCAUGCCUCUCUUGCCAGAUCUUCUACCCACAGCAUGCCAACACAAAUCAAUUCUCAUGUUCCAUUUUGAUUAUGAAUCGAAGUUUGUUUUCUGCUACUGGAACAGACCAGAAGACGAGAUCUGCAUUCAUGGCCUUGCCGUGAAUUCUACCGUUGAGAACAUGCUGUGAGGUUAGUAAGAGAGUGCAUGCUAAGUAAUUGCUUCUGUUCCUCAGAGGAAGGCAGUUUCCGUAUUUCUGUUUAUACCUAAUUGAUGGGAGGGGUUUAUAAUUAAUCUACCCUCUGAAGCUCAUUAGCUUUUUAAUAGUGUUAGCUUAACACGAUUGUAGUCUUAACAGCUUUGAUAUUGAUUGAAAUUGCAUAGAAUUUGUACUGUUAACUCUGGCCUUUUUCGUUAGACUCUUAUAUAGUGUAUGCAUGUGAGUAGGGGUAACAAGUUGGGGUACUAAUCGGAUGUUAUCCGUAAACAGGGUCAAAAUUUCAUGUUACAAUCUAAUUACUUUUUCAGUUUAAUUUAAAAUUGGUCAAUUUUAUCUUACCCUUUAUAUCCAAUGUUGCAUUGUUGGGUGGUGCCAGAAAUUGUUAACAGAUACACAGAUCAUCAGAAUUAGAUGAUGACUCGUAACUUGACUCCACAAUUGACUAAAUUUUCUUUUUCUUGUCAUGAUUUUUGAUGUUUAAUAUGAACUAGUUGUAUGUAAUAAUACUUGUUGCUUCUGUGGUUGGAGGUAUAAAGAUUAGUUUCAUUAUCAAGCAAUAGCGUGGAAUAUGGUAUCUGUCGUUGUAUUUGCACAAAUGAAUGAAUACUAUUGAAGAGAAGAAAUGUAAUAACAUGGAGCAACAAAUGGUUAAGAAAUGGAAUCAUAUAAUUUUGUAUCUAAAUUAUAUCUGCAUAAGUUUCCUGAAUGUACAUAUCGAAAAAUUUUUAGCCAAAAAAUGCAAAUGAAUCUCAAAAUUUGGUAUCAUUGCAACUUGAUUUACAGGGUUAGUGAUUGAGGAUAUUGAGAAAGGAAACUCUGGUUUUGAUCAAUCGUCUAGAAAGGCAUUCAAGGCCAUCUUCAAGAUCUUGAAUGCACUGCUCCAAGUUUUUUAGUUGGGCUUGAAUACUUUGAAUGAGCAUGCUGUAACCACAUUUGCUUGUCUUGGGACUGCAGAGAGACUGCAAAGCGCUGUCCAUGUUGGCAAAUUCAUUAUUGUCUGAAAAUUCUUCCUCGGGAGCCACUCUUUUGUGGUGGAUCAGUUUAGAAACUAAUGACCAGCUGCUUGGCUUCGUUUGCAGAUUGGACCCUGAGAUUAGGGACAAUAAGGACUCAAGAGCAGUGGCAGUUACUGCUUCAGCUUCGCGUAACAUGCUUAACAUUGCGGAAGCUUCCUUGUCUAAAUUGAUGGGAGAGGAAGUGCGGCUCUUUUCAAUACCUUUCAAUUUCCUCAGAGCUUUGUGGAUUGCCUUUUUCACCAAUUUUCUGGAAGCUAAGUAUUUCUUAAUCUCAGCUUCACCUCCACAUCUUCGGCGGAAACUUGACUGAAGUUCACGUGUGGAUUCCUUUGUCAGAAGUAAUACAUCUUUAGCGGAGCUGCACACAUCCAAGAGCCGGAGAGAUCCAUCUAGUAGCUCUGCCACACCUUCUUCAUUCAACUCUCGGGUUAAUGUUUGUUGGCAGAGAGGCAAGAGAAGCAGCUUCUCAACACACUCAUACAGAUCUUGAAGGGCACUUAUUUUGCCACAAACUGAUGUUGAUAAUGUUGAUGCAGAUACUGAAGACUUUAUUCUGCACAAUUGGACAUCAACUUGUUGUAGAAAAGGAUGUGUUAUGCAAGGGAAGCUAUGGGACCGAGCAUGGUAGGCAGCCAUUUUUUUUAGAGAAAAGAGAGGGUUAGCAGAUGAAUUCUGAUUUCACUGUAAACAAUUUGCCUUGUGUCUUUUGCUUCCCCUCAUUAUAUAUUGCAGGUCAAUGGAGACAGAAAGAAUCUUUUUUCUUCUUCCUCUUCGUUAUCAAUUAUUAAAAGUGAAGAGUGUUCUGGAUUUAGGUAGUCUGUCAAUAAUGUUUAUGCAUGUCUCCCUCUUACCACAUCUCCAGGUCAGCUUUCCUAAAGAAUAUACAGACGCUUGAGUGGCACUAAGAGAGCCCUAGGACAAGAGACAAUAGCCUUACCAUCUCAUCUUUACUCACUGUAUGUUGUUGCUUUCGAUUUCUUAAAAUAAUUUCAUCUGCCAGUCCAUCUCCACAUGAAAAUGACACCAGUAAUCUCUAUCUAAUUGUACACAACCAUUUCCACCUAAAUGCAUCAAUAAUCCAUGUUAAGGACUGAUUGAAAAAUUUGAUGUUGCAUGUUCCUUAUCUGGCUUCUGCACAAGUAGUAUGCAAGUUAUUCAUAAUCUAAUAUCACCUUUUCUUUUUUUUUUCUUUCAUUGAAAAUGGCUUGAGGCUGAACUAGGCUGGAUAAAUCAGACUGUCUCUCCAAACAGAGAAAGCCAGAAUAUCUUCUUUAGUUUUUGUCAAUAUUUAAUCUUCUGCCUAUAGACAAUUCAGGUCAGUAGCAUGGAGGACGCAAAUAAUAUGCUUUAUAUGUAUCUCUGUAAAGUCAGGUUUUUCCCUCAAUGCGUGCCUGUUGGAUGUGCAUGGAUGCUAACUCCAGUUUAUUAAUAAACAAUUUACUUGAAUUUUCACUUUAAUCAGCAUUUCCUGCAAUAUUUAGAUGAGAUCUGCAUACUCGGCCAUAACAUACCUGACAAAAAUGGAGACAAAUGGUUAGUGAGGACAAUAACUCUGCCAUCCUCUAUAAAAUGUUAGAGUACUUUCACUUUUAUAAAACACAUUUUAGACAUGUUACCAAGUCUUGUGAAAAGAUUAUAGCUAGUGAUAGAAAAGGUAUAUUCAUCUUGUAAUAUCAGGUCUGAGUCUUUCGAGUUCUUGUGCAUCAAUGUGGAUGCUUAUGGAUUUUUAUAUCAAUCAAUUGAUUUUCCUCAAGACAUAUAUGAUGCUCUUAAAAGAAAAAAGGACAAAAAAAUAGUAUGGCUGCAAGAUCUUCUGAGAACCAGUGUUUAACUUUAGUAUGAAUUGAAGAGUACAAAUACUUUUAGUCUAUAUACAGAGCAUCAUGAUUUUUUUUUUUUGGCUAGUGAUUAGCGACAUUGAUAAAGGAGACUCUGGUCCUGAUCAACUUUCUGUAUAUGCACUCAAGUCCUUCUUCAAGAUCUUGAAUGCACAACUCUAAAUUUUUCAACUGCCCUUGCACAUGUUCAACAAGCAUGCUGUUGUCAUAUUUGCUCAUCCUGUGACCAUAAAGAGAUUGCAAGACACCAUCCACCUUAGCAAUUUCAUUUCCGUCGUUCUCUUCAUCCUUGCAUGCAACUAUUUUGUGGUGCAUCAGUUGGGAAACUACUGACCACCCUCUAGGCUUCAAUUGCGAAUUUGAGCCCGAGAUAUAGAGCAAGAAUGAGUUGAAGACGUUGAGGGUAAAGGUUUCCACCUCUGUUAACAUGCUAACCAUGCCACUGUCUCAUGGUCUUUGUCACAUUGUUUUUGCAUUCCCUUCAAGCUCCCCAUAGCCUUAUAGGUUUCUUUCUUAAUCAUCUUUCUUGAGGCUAAUAAUAUCUUAACCUCUUCUUCAACUCCACAUCUUGUCCAAAUGAUUGAAAAAGUUCUCAUGUGAAUUCCUUUGUUUGCAGCAAGGCAUCCUUAGCAGUGCUGCAGAUGUCCAAGAGCCUAAGAGAACCAUCCAGCAAGGCGUCCUUGUGCUAAUGUUCUUUGGGUGAGAGGUGAGAAGCAACUUUUCAACACAAUCAUGCAAAUCCUGAGGGCCAGUUAGAUUGUGGUUUAUUGAUGAGGACUGUGAUGAUGCUUCUUCUGAGACCCUUAUUCUGCAUAAGUUCUCUUCAACUGUGGGAGGAGAGGAUGUUGUCUGGAAGGCCAACUGUUGGAGCGAACAUGAUAGGCAGCCAUUUUUACCUACAAAAAGAGAAGGCAUAGAAAGUGAAUAUUGCUAAUUUCCUGUUUGCUUUCCUUCUGUUCUUUGCAUACCUUCAAUGCAUAUAUUAUAGGUUAAGAGAGACACAAGGAAUCUCUUCCACUUCAAUUAUGGAUCAUUAGUAGAAAAAUAUUGAUUCGGAUCUAUAUCCUAUCUCAGCAAUGUUUAUUUAUGCUUGUCUCCCCCUCAGCAGACCCCCAACUCGUCAUCACAUUACUAAAAACUCCUAGAAUCAAUCGUGUUGGUCCUAUAUAAUAUAGGAACAUUGCACGAGUGGCUGAAUAAUAUGCGUACGAAAUGACAUUAUGAUAAUCCUCAAUACUAAUUCAAACAUUUAGAGUGCUCAUCAGAUUGCUGUGCAGUGGGCAGGCAAGAUCUUCAUAAACGGGAUUACUUGUCUUCCUCUAAAAUAUCAAAACUGCAAAUAGCAUAUGAAAUGAAUUAUUAGUUGGCUAGGUGAAUAAGACUUUUUCUUCAAACAGAUGAAGGGCCAGGCUACUUCUUAACUGUGCAAGUGUCAUUAAUUUGUUUCUGGUAAGUAGUUGAUCAUUUGCUUGGAGAGAACUAGCAUCUUAGACCAUGUGGGAUCUGAGUUCACCAAGUGCAACAGAUCAUACACGGGAGAGAGAAGACUGUGUAUUUAUCGUCAAGAUUUACUUAUUAUUUAUCAAUUAAAACUUAAACUUACCAUGCUUGUAAUUUAUCUAAUCUGAACUCACACAUCGUCUGUGAUUUUUUUUUUUUUUUGAAAUAUAAAGCAUCUAUGGUUAUUCUUAACUAGAUGGUCGAAUACUUGAUGGUUGAAUUUUGUUUCUUUACCAACUGAAUGUAGAAUGAGAUAUUAGCCGUAACAUUUGCACAAACGAAUGUUACUGAGAGAGAAGAAAGACAAGAUAAUAGAAAAGAGAAUUUAUUGAAAAUAGUAUUUAACUGUAGUAUAAUAUUAUUACAUGUGUAAUUUCUCUAUGUACAGAUCCCAAAAUUGAGUAUGGUUAAGUCUUGACUCUCUUGCUAGGCUAGUGAUUGAAGAUAUUGAGGAAGGAAACUCUAGUUUUAAUCAAUCGUCUGUACAGGCAUUCAAGACCAUCUUCAAGUUCUUGAAUGUACUGCUCCAAAUCUUUUAGCUGGUUUUGUACAUUCUCAAGAAACAUAUGUUUAUCACGUCUGCUUUCCUUGUGACCGUAGAGAGAUUCCAAUGCGCCAUCUGCCUGCAUAAAUUUGUCAUUGCCUAAAACUUCUUCAGAUGCCACUCUUCUGUGGUGCAUCACUUUCGAAACCAAUGACCAACCACUUUUCUUUUUUUGCAGAUUAGACCCUGAGAUAAGAGACAAUAGGGAUUUGAGAGCAGCGGCAGUUACUGCUUCAACUUCUCUUAGCAUACUUACUACAGCCAGAGCUUCAUGGUCUUUGUUGAUGGGCGAGAUACUGCAUUUCUUUUCCACACCCUUCAAGUUUCCCAAAGCCUUUUGGAUUGCCUUCUUCACAAUUUUCCUGGAGGCUAAAUAUUUCUUAAUAUCUGUUUCAUCCCCACAUCUUCUCCGCAUACUUGAUUGAAGUUCACGUGUGCAUUCCUUUGUUUGCAGCAACACAUCCUUAGCAGAGCUACACGCAUCUAAGAGCCUGAGAGAUCCAUCCAGUA
rnacentral:lncRNA from 1 species